UGCAAGUCGACGAGUUCUGAUUAUUGAAAGGUGCUUGCAUCUUGAUUUAAUUUUGAACGAGUGGCGGACGGGUGAGUAACACGUGGGUAACCUGCCCUUAAGUGGGGGAUAACAUUUGGAAACAGAUGCUAAUACCGCAUAAAUCCAAGAACCGCAUGGUUCUUGGCUGAAAGAUGGCGUAAGCUAUCGCUUUUGGAUGGACCCGCGGCGUAUUAGCUAGUUGGUGAGGUAACGGCUCACCAAGGCAAUGAUACGUAGCCGAACUGAGAGGUUGAUCGGCCACAUUGGGACUGAGACACGGCCCAAACUCCUACGGGAGGCAGCAGUAGGGAAUCUUCCACAAUGGACGCAAGUCUGAUGGAGCAACGCCGCGUGAGUGAAGAAGGCUUUCGGGUCGUAAAACUCUGUUGUUGGAGAAGAAUGGUCGGCAGAGUAACUGUUGUCGGCGUGACGGUAUCCAACCAGAAAGCCACGGCUAACUACGUGCCAGCAGCCGCGGUAAUACGUAGGUGGCAAGCGUUAUCCGGAUUUAUUGGGCGUAAAGCGAGCGCAGGCGGUUUUUUAAGUCUGAUGUGAAAGCCCUCGGCUUAACCGAGGAAGUGCAUCGGAAACUGGGAAACUUGAGUGCAGAAGAGGACAGUGGAACUCCAUGUGUAGCGGUGAAAUGCGUAGAUAUAUGGAAGAACACCAGUGGCGAAGGCGGCUGUCUGGUCUGUAACUGACGCUGAGGCUCGAAAGCAUGGGUAGCGAACAGGAUUAGAUACCCUGGUAGUCCAUGCCGUAAACGAUGAAUGCUAGGUGUUGGAGGGUUUCCGCCCUUCAGUGCCGCAGCUAACGCAUUAAGCAUUCCGCCUGGGGAGUACGACCGCAAGGUUGAAACUCAAAGGAAUUGACGGGGGCCCGCACAAGCGGUGGAGCAUGUGGUUUAAUUCGAAGCAACGCGAAGAACCUUACCAGGUCUUGACAUCUUUUGAUCACCUGAGAGAUCAGGUUUCCCCUUCGGGGGCAAAAUGACAGGUGGUGCAUGGUUGUCGUCAGCUCGUGUCGUGAGAUGUUGGGUUAAGUCCCGCAACGAGCGCAACCCUUAUGACUAGUUGCCAGCAUUUAGUUGGGCACUCUAGUAAGACUGCCGGUGACAAACCGGAGGAAGGUGGGGAUGACGUCAAAUCAUCAUGCCCCUUAUGACCUGGGCUACACACGUGCUACAAUGGAUGGUACAACGAGUUGCGAGACCGCGAGGUCAAGCUAAUCUCUUAAAGCCAUUCUCAGUUCGGACUGUAGGCUGCAACUCGCCUACACGAAGUCGGAAUCGCUAGUAAUCGCGGAUCAGCACGCCGCGGUGAAUACGUUCCCGGGCCUUGUACACACCGCCCGUCACACCAUGAGAGUUUGUAACACCCGAAGCCGGUGGCGUAACCCUUUUAGGGAGCGAGCCGUCUAAGGUG
rnacentral:rRNA from 2 species